rnacentral:rRNA from 1 species
GAUGAACGCUGGCGGCGUGCCUAACACAUGCAAGUCGAGCGAACAGGUGAUGAGCUUGCUCCGCUGACGUGAGCGGCGCGCGGGAGAGUAACACGUGGAUACCGUACCAGUCAGACGGGGAACACUACGGGACACCGGAGCUUAUCGCGGAUGAUAUCUUGAACCGCGUGGGUCAAUGGUGAGAGACGGUGUUUGGGUCAGUUCUCGCUGGUUCCGAGCCGCAUUAGCUAGUAGGUAAGGUAACGGCUUACCAAGGCAACGAUGCGUAGCCGAACUGAGAGGGUGAUCGGCCACACUGGAGCUGGGACACGGUCCAGACUACUACGGGAGGCAGCAGUCGGGAAUCUUCGGCAAUGGGCGAAAGCCUGACGGAGCAAGGCCGCGUGAGUGACGAAGGCGUUCGGAUCGUAAAGCCCUGUUAUUAGGGAAGAACAACUGUGGAAGUAACCAUGGCCGUCGUGACGGUACCGAAUCAAAAAGCACCGGCUAACUACGUG